rnacentral:rRNA from 1 species
ACUCAAAGGAAUUGGCGGGGGCCCGCACAAGCGGUGGAGCAUGUGGUUCAAUUCGAUGCUAAGCGAAGAACCUUACCAGGGUUUGACAUGCUGGAUUAAGCCUACGUGAAAGCGUGGGGUGGUGUGGGGCUUGUCUCCACAUAGCCAGCACAGGUGCUGCAUGGCUGUCGUCAGCUCGUGCCGUGAGGUGUCCGGUUAAGUCCGGUAACGAGCGCAACCCUUGUUCCUAGUUGCCAGCAUUUAAGGUGGGCACUCUAGGGAGACCGCCGGCGACAAGCCGGAGGAAGGCGGGGACGACGUCAAGUCAGCAUGGCCUUUAUGUCCUGGGCUACACACAUGCUACAAUGGCGGAUACAACGGGUUGCGAACUCGAGAGGGGGAGCUAAUCCUAUCAAAAUCCGUCUCAGUUCGGAUUGCAGGCUGCAACUCGCCUGCAUGAAGCUGGAAUCGCUAGUAAUCGCGGAUCAGCCACGCCGCGGUGAAUACGUUCCCGGGCCUUGCACACACCGCCCGUCACACCACGAAAGCUGGUUCUGCCCGAAGUGGCUGGGCUAACCCGAAAGGGACGCAGGCUCCGAAGGCAGGGCUAGUGAUUGGGGUG